rnacentral:rRNA from 1 species
CGGCGUGGAGAAGACAGGCAAGUCGAACGCUAAUGCUUAGGUAGCAAUAUUUGAGUGAAGGAGUGGCGCAAGGGUGUGUAACACGUGAGCAAUCUGCCGUGAAGUCUGGGAUAACUCGCUGAAAGGCGAGCUAAUACCGGAUGUGAAUGUAAAUUCAAAGUUGGGGACCGCAAGGCCUGACGCUUUACGAUGAGCUCGCGGCCUAUCAGCUAGUUGGUGAGGUAACGGCUCACCAAGGCUAAGACGGGUAGCUGGUCUGAGAGGACGACCAGCCACACUGGAACUGAGACACGGUCCAGACACCUACGGGUGGCAGCAGUCGAGAAUUUUUCUCAAUGGGCGAAAGCCUGAAAGAGCGACGCCGCGUGGGGGAUGAAUGGCUUCGGCCCGUAAAGGCCUGUCAUUUGCGAACAAAUUGAUUCACUUAACAC